CCUACGGGAGGCAGCAGUGGGGGAUAUUGCACAAUGGGGGAAACCCUGAUGCAGCGACGCCGCGUGUGGGAAGACGGUCCUCUGGAUUGUAAACCACUGUCCCCAGGGACGAAGAUGACGGUACCUGGGGAGGAAGCUCCGGCUAACUACGUGCCAGCAGCCGCGGUAAUACGUAGGGAGCGAGCGUUGUCCGGAAUUACUGGGUGAAAAGGGAGCGUAGGCGGGACUGCAAGUUGGGUGUCAAAUCUACCGGCGCAACCGGUAGCCGCACUCAAAACUGCAGUUCUUGAGUGAAGUAGAGGCAGGCGGAAUUCCUGGUGUAGCGGUGAAAUGCGUAGAUAUUAGGAGGAACACCAGUGGCGAAGGCGGCCUGCUGGGCUUUUACUGACGCUGAGGCUCGAAAGUGUGGGGAGCAAACAGGAUUAGAUACCCGAGUAGUC
rnacentral:rRNA from 1 species